rnacentral:rRNA from 1 species
CGCCUCCUGCUUGUUUUAACCAUAGGAGGUCCCGCCUGCCCUGUGACCAAAAGUUUAACGGCCGCGGUAUUUUAACCGUGCAAAGGUAGCGCAAUCAAUUGUCUUUUAAAUGGAGACCUGUAUGAAUGGCACCACGAGGGUUUGACUGUCUCUUUUUCCCGGUCAAUGAAACUGAUCUGCCCGUGCAGAAGCGGGCAUACUUGCACAAGACGAGAAGACCCUAUGGAGCUUUAGACGCCCACCAACCAUGAAAAGCGGUCCAGCCAAUGGACCUUCAAAUAGCAUGGCUUUGGCACAAACGUCUUCGGUUGGGGCGACCACGGGGGAAAACAAAGCCCCCGAGAGGAUUGGAGUAGUACUUCAAAACCGAGAGCCACAGCUCUAAGUCACAAAAAAUUUGACCUACAAUGAUCCGGCUUACUGCCGAUCAACGGACCAAGUUACCCUAGGGAUAACAGCGCAAUCCUCUCCCAGAGUCCAUAUCGACGAGAGGGUUUACGACCUCGAUGUUGGAUCAGGACAUCCUAAUGGUGCAGCCGCUAUUAAGGGUUCGUUUGUUCAACGAUUAAAGUCCU